GACGAACGCUGGCGGCGUGCUUAACACAUGCAAGUCGAACGGAAAGGCCCUGCUUUUGUGGGGUGCUCGAGUGGUGAACGGGUGAGUAACACGUGAGUAACCUGCCCUUGACUUUGGGAUAACUUCAGGAAACUGGGGCUAAUACCGGAUAGGAGCUCCUGCUGCAUGGUGGGGGUUCGAAAGUUUCGGCGGUUGGGGAUGGACUCGCGGCUUAUCAGCUUGUUGGUGGGGUAGUGGCUUACCAAGGCUUUGACGGGUAGCCGGCCUGAGAGGGUGACCGGCCACAUUGGGACUGAGAUACGGCCCAGACUCCUACGGGAGGCAGCAGUGGGGAAUAUUGCACAAUGGGCGGAAGCCUGAUGCAGCAACGCCGCGUGCGGGAUGACGGCCUUCGGGUUGUAAACCGCUUUCGCCUGUGACGAAGCGUGAGUGACGGUAAUGGGUAAAGAAGCACCGGCUAACUACGUG
rnacentral:rRNA from 1 species